rnacentral:rRNA from 1 species
AGUCGAACGAGAAGAGAUGAGAAGCUUGCUUCUUAUUGAUUCGAGUGGCAAACGGGUGAGUAACGCGUAAGCAACCUGCCCUCUAGAUAGGGACAACAGCUGGAAACGGCUGCUAAUACCGAAUACGUUCUUUCUGUCGCAUGGCAGAAGGAAGAAAGGGUGGCUCUUCGGAGCUUUCGCUGGAGGAGGGGCUUGCGUCUGAUUAGCUAGUUGGAGGGGUAACGGCCCACCAAGGCGACGAUCAGUAGCCGGUCUGAGAGGAUGAACGGCCACAUUGGGACUGAGACACGGCCCAGACUCCUACGGGAGGCAGCAGUGGGGAAUCUUCCGCAAUGGACGAAAGUCUGACGGAGCAACGCCGCGUGAACGAUGACGGCCUUCGGGUUGUAAAGUUCUGUUAUACGGGACGAAUGGUACGACGGCCAAUACCCGUCGUAAGUGACGGUACCGUAAGAGAAAGCCACGGCUAACUACGUGCCAGCAGCCGCGGUAAUACGUAGGUGGCAAGCGUUGUCCGGAAUUAUUGGGCGUAAAGGGCGCGCAGGCGGCGUCGUAAGUCGGUCUUAAAAGUGCGGGGCUUAACCCCGUGAGGGGACCGAAACUGCGAUGCUAGAGUAUCGGAGAGGAAAGCGGAAUUCCUAGUGUAGCGGUGAAAUGCGUAGAUAUUAG